GCGUACUAUCAGGUAGUUGGUGAGGUAAUGGCUCACCAAGCCUACGACGGUUAACUGGUCUGAGAGGAUGAUCAGUCACACUGGAACUGAGACACGGUCCAGACUCCUACGGGAGGCAGCAGUGAGGAAUAUUGCGCAAUGGGCGAAAGCCUGACGCAGCGACGCCGCGUGGAGGAUGAAGGCCUUCGGGUUGUAAACUCCUGUCAGUGGGGAAGAGAAUGGACGGUACCCACUGAGGAAGCUUCGGCUAACUACGUGCCAGCAGCCGCGGUAAU
rnacentral:rRNA from 1 species